GUGAGACGAGGGAGGCCGUGUUCAGGUGUGGAGUGGGGCGGGACUGUGCGGCGACGCGCUGUCCGGAGGAGACAGGUCUGCGAUAGGAGCCUCCUCCCUGGUCUGUUGCUGGCGAGUUUCCCCAUCCCGGAAGAGAAGUUCCUCUCCUGUCCUCGCCCAUUUGUGGCUGGACUGUGGGAUUAUGGGACUGUGGGAGGACGUGGUGGUGAAGAUUUAGGUCCACCAGUCUUAGCGGCUACAAGUACACCUCUCUGAACAGUGUCUGGGAGGCUGUGGUUGCUGCUGCACGCAAUGUUGAUGGUGAACAGAUCAAAACACUGACAGAAUCCAUGGAUGGCAGGCUUUUGAGUGUCCUUGCAAAGAAAGAACAGUUCUCCACAGUCGCUGUCCACAUGGGUCAGUGGGACAAAGAAGCGCUCUGCUAAUGUGUGGACUCUGACCAGCAACAUCCAGCAAGACCCAGACAGCGUUUUCUAUCUCCCAGCUGGAGUUUUUUGUUUGUCUGUGACUGGAGAGUCAGAUUUUUGUUGAGCUUCACACUUGCAGAGGUAAGUCAGUUUGUAGAGAUCCCUCCCACCCUGGCUUUUAUGUCCUAGAUUUCUUAUCGGAAACAGUAAUAUUUCAGUGACUGCUGCUUAUAGCACAGGUUAAUACACGCUACUGAUCCCUGAUAGGAGAAUCAUCAGUUUUGGCAACAAAGAAGCCUGGUGGAUGGUUUUUUUUUUUUUUUUUUUUACAGUCUGAUGAUGGGACAUCGUGCUCUGCAUCUUCAAAGUUUGCCUCCUCGUUAUUAUUCAUACCCAGUAAUGUGAAGUAUGCUUAUAUCUACCGUAGCUGCCUCCACCAGUGUGUGAAUGUGAGAGUGAAUGAAUAGUGGCAUUGUAAAGCGCUUUGGGUGCCUUGAAAAGCGCUAUAUAAAUCCAAUCCAUUAUUAUCUACUAUAACUGAACCAACCUGGUGCUCUUCAUUUAUGGAGGCUGUUGAGUCUGAAUGUUGGAUAUUGUGUAUCUCGUGUUCUCUGGGCUUUGUUGUCCUCAGUUUUUUUGCAGGAUCAGAAAACAAAACCAGGAGGCGUGUAAAUGUUUCUUCUCCAUGAUGUUUCUUCAAAUGUUUCUUCUGGAUGAUGAUAAGACUGUGACACGGGAUGCCACCUUUGGUCACCUUUGAUGAAGCAAAGCUCAGGAAGAAGUCUGAUUAAAUGGUACCCACAUGUUGAGGGAUGUACAGGGGCACCUGCAGCCAAAUCCAAGCUUCAGGUUAGUUGUAGUUGCAGAACGCUAUAGACUGAGACAGCUGAGGCAUCAAAUGUUUGAUUAAACGGAUGAAAAAGAGAAGUUUCUUCCCUAUAAUUAUCACUUCUUAAAAUCUGUAGCAACUUCAAGUCUGUCAGCAUGCUGAGCAUGCUCAGAAUGUGACAAUAUAUUUUUGUUCAAUAUUUAAUUUCUUUCAGUUGCAAUUGUUAAAUGGGAAAAAAAUAAAAAUUUAUUCUUAUAAUUUAGCAAACUAACUUAUCAAAAAAAAUAUACAUGUAUUUGUAUUAGUUUUAAUAAAUUAAUUUGACACCUGUAUUGAAAAUACCAUAUUGUGGCAUUCUUAUUACUAACCAAAUCUGAAGCGCAAAGUAAUAUUAUUUCUAAAUUACAUAACAGCAUCCUGCGGUGUAAAAACGACAGCACUCUGUAUAUUAAAGCGAAGUGGGAAAAGGAGGGUAAUUUGUCAAUUACAGACAAGUGUUGGGCUCACGCAUGCAAGAUACAGUGGGCUCCCACUGGGUCUAAUGUUUGGUGUGAAUUUUGCUGGAAAAGCAUUGAGAUUUUUCAUUAUCCUUGCUCAACAAAGAUAUUGAGGAAUUGGUGAUAAAUGUUGAAGAUGUGGGGGAGACGGAGCUAACCAUUUCCACAUCUUUUGGGACUGUAAAGUUAUUCGCCAGUAUUGGUCUCUAAUCCAAAAUCAUUUACAAAAUGUUUUUUCAUUUGUUUUUCCUUCAACUUUUGAAACCAUAUUUUUGUGCAAUGUACCAGUGGAUAAACUGAAUUCCAACGACAGAAGACUCCUGUAUAUCCUUCUGGCCGCAAGAAAAAAGCCUCUUACGAGAAGAUAGCUUAAGCCUGAACCACCAACGAUAGAAGACUGGAUACAUUCUGUACAAGAGAUCUAUACGAUGGAAAAAGUGUCAUUUUCUCUUAAACUUCAGAGGGAUACCUUCUAUGGAAUAUGGUCUAAAUGGACAGACUAUGUUAAGCAUAUGAGGUGUGAUUUUUGUAUAUGAUGUUACAACCCUGAGUACUACGUAAACCUACCUGCCCUGCUGCCUCCUAACCCUAGUUUGGUGUUUUUUGUUUUUGUUUUUUUUUGUUUUUUUGUUUUUUUUGUUUGUUUUUUUUUCUUUUCUUUUUCUGUCUUUAUUUUUCAAUUAUAAGUUAAAAUGUGACAGCAAAGAAAGUGUAAAAAGGCAUACUAUUAUGUUCAACAGCUGUCCCAAUAAAAGAGAUAAUAAUAAUAAAAAAGAAAAUACCAUAUUGUAUUCAUACAGAAACAGUAUGGUAACAUUGUUUGUCUGCUCACUGAUUGCUGAAACUAAGAGCUACUUUGAUCUGUUUAGAUCUAAAGUAGCCAAAGUUGAAUGUUUCUUCACCCCUGUGUGUGUGAUAUCUGAUUUCCUACAUGCUGGCAGAGCAGCAGUUUGUGCUCACAGAUGGUGACAGUGUGGAGAGACGGUGGUGUUUCCUCAGAAGAACCAGCAGAGUCACAAAGGACACCAGUCCAUCUCACCACCUUGACUUGCUGACUGAUGUUCGUCUGCACUGCACAGAGGAAAUCAACUGACCGAGAUGGGCAGGAUAUCAGUCUUGGACUGUCUAACCUGCCGGAACAGCACUGAAUGAUCACCACACAUGAGCAUGUUCCUGCAACAUGCAGCAUCUGAUCCUUCAUCUGUGUGCUUCUGCUUUUGUGUCACAUGUCAAACAGCUGGAGAGGAAACUACACCAGUGUACUGGGAUGUUUCAGCAACACGUGCCAGAUGCUGUUCCUUCAUGGUGACAUCACCAGAGACAGCCCCACCCACCUCAGGACCUCGCCAUUGAUCAUGAUGAUUAUAAUGAUGACAGCGAGCGGAACUAAGACUGUAAAAAUCCACGACCAGAAUUUUUCUUUCUAAUUAUUAAUGAAUACUGAGAGCCUCUUUCUGUGUUUUGUCUGUUUUUUGUUUUGUUUUUAAAACCUCAUUUGUUACUAACAAAGUUCACCAAACUCACACAGUUUACAUUCUGUAUGUUUCCAUCUUUACCAGCCACACUCUAACUGCAUUUAAGAAAAUAAUCCUUAGAAAUCGUCGUUUUUCUCUUUUGCAAUUGAUGAUAAUUCAGUGAAUAAACUGCUGUUUGAAUUCUCUGUAUGUUUGACCCUGUAGACUGUUUGAUGGACUGCUUGUCUUCCUGUUUGUUACCGCCGCCUGUUUUUUGACUAAAGAUUUGGAUUUCUGACUUCAACACUAUGAUUUAACUCCAUACAACACAG
ensembl:lncRNA